rnacentral:rRNA from 1 species
GGGUUGUGAGGUUAAGCGACUAAGCGUACACGGUGGAUGCCCUGGCAGUCAGAGGCGAUGAAGGACGUGCUAAUCUGCGAUAAGCGCCGGUAAGGUGAUAUGAACCGUUAUAACCGGCGAUUUCCGAAUGGGGAAACCCAGUGUGAUUCGUCACACUAUCAUUAACUGAAUCCAUAGGUUAAUGAGGCGAACCGGGGGAACUGAAACAUCUAAGUACCCCGAGGAAAAGAAAUCAACCGAGAUUCCCCCAGUAGCGGCGAGCGAACGGGGAGGAGCCCAGAGCCUGAAUCAGCAUGUGUGUUAGUGGAAGCGUCUGGAAAGGCGCGCGAUACAGGGUGACAGCCCCGUACACAAAAGCGCAUGUGCUGUGAGCUCGAUGAGUAGGGCGGGACACGUGGUAUCCUGUCUGAAUAUGGGGGGACCAUCCUCCAAGGCUAAAUACUCCUGACUGACCGAUAGUGAACCAGUACCGUGAGGGAAAGGCGAAAAGAACCCCGGCGAGGGGAGUGAAAAAAGAACCUGAAACCGUGUACGUACAAGCAGUGGGAGCACCCUUCGGGGUGUGACUGCGUACCUUUUGUAUAAUGGGUCAGCGACUUAUAUUCUGUAGCAAGGUUAACCGUAUAGGGGAGCCGGAGGGAAACCGAGUCUUAACCGGGCGUUAAGUUGCAGGGUAUAGACCCGAAACCCGGUGAUCUAGCCAUGGGCAGGUUGAAGGUUGGGUAACACUAACUGGAGGACCGAACCGACUAAUGUUGAAAAAUUAGCGGAUGACCUGUGGCUGGGGGUGAAAGGCCAAUCAAACCGGGAGAUAGCUGGUUCUCCCCGAAAGCUAUUUAGGUAGCGCCUCGUGAAUUCAUCUCCGGGGGUAGAGCACUGUUUCGGCUAGGGGGCCAUCCCGGCUUACCAACCCGAUGCAAACUGCGAAUACCGGAGAAUGUUAUCACGGGAGACACACGGCGGGUGCUAACGUCCGUCGUGAAGAGGGAAACAACCCAGACCGCCAGCUAAGGUCCCAAAGUCAUGGUUAAGUGGGAAACGAUGUGGGAAGGCCCAGACAGCCAGGAUGUUGGCUUAGAAGCAGCCAUCAUUUAAAGAAAGCGUAAUAGCUCACUGGUCGAGUCGGCCUGCGCGGAAGAUGUAACGGGGCUAAACCAUGCACCGAAGCUGCGGCAGCGACGCUGAUGCGUUGUUGGGUAGGGGAGCGUUCUGUAAGCCUGCGAAGGUGACCUGUGAGGGUUGCUGGAGGUAUCAGAAGUGCGAAUGCUGACAUAAGUAACGAUAAAGCGGGUGAAAAGCCCGCUCGCCGGAAGACCAAGGGUUCCUGUCCAACGUUAAUCGGGGCAGGGUGAGUCGACCCCUAAGGCGAGGCCGAAAGGCGUAGUCGAUGGGAAACGGGUUAAUAUUCCCGUACUUGGUGUUACUGCGAAGGGGGGACGGAGAAGGCUAUGUUGGCCGGGCGACGGUUGUCCCGGUUUAAGCGUGUAGGUGUGUGUUCCAGGUAAAUCCGGUUCACUUUAACACUGAGGCGUGAUGACGAGGCACUACGGUGCUGAAGCAACAAAUGCCCUGCUUCCAGGAAAAGCCUCUAAGCAUCAGGUAACAUCAAAUCGUACCCCAAACCGACACAGGUGGUCAGGUAGAGAAUACCAAGGCGCUUGAGAGAACUCGGGUGAAGGAACUAGGCAAAAUGGUGCCGUAACUUCGGGAGAAGGCACGCUGACACGUAGGUGAAGUGAUUUACUCACGGAGCUGAAGUCAGUCGAAGAUACCAGCUGGCUGCAACUGUUUAUUAAAAACACAGCACUGUGCAAACACGAAAGUGGACGUAUACGGUGUGACGCCUGCCCGGUGCCGGAAGGUUAAUUGAUGGGGUCAGCGCAAGCGAAGCUCCUGAUCGAAGCCCCGGUAAACGGCGGCCGUAACUAUAACGGUCCUAAGGUAGCGAAAUUCCUUGUCGGGUAAGUUCCGACCUGCACGAAUGGCGUAAUGAUGGCCAGGCUGUCUCCACCCGAGACUCAGUGAAAUUGAACUCGCUGUGAAGAUGCAGUGUACCCGCGGCAAGACGGAAAGACCCCGUGAACCUUUACUAUAGCUUGACACUGAACAUUGAGCCUUGAUGUGUAGGAUAGGUGGGAGGCUUUGAAGUGUGGACGCCAGUCUGCAUGGAGCCGACCUUGAAAUACCACCCUUUAAUGUUUGAUGUUCUAACGUGGACCCGUAAUCCGGGUUGCGGACAGUGUCUGGUGGGUAGUUUGACUGGGGCGGUCUCCUCCUAAAGAGUAACGGAGGAGCACGAAGGUUGGCUAAUCCUGGUCGGACAUCAGGAGGUUAGUGCAAUGGCAUAAGCCAGCUUGACUGCGAGCGUGACGGCGCGAGCAGGUGCGAAAGCAGGUCAUAGUGAUCCGGUGGUUCUGAAUGGAAGGGCCAUCGCUCAACGGAUAAAAGGUACUCCGGGGAUAACAGGCUGAUACCGCCCAAGAGUUCAUAUCGACGGCGGUGUUUGGCACCUCGAUGUCGGCUCAUCACAUCCUGGGGCUGAAGUAGGUCCCAAGGGUAUGGCUGUUCGCCAUUUAAAGUGGUACGCGAGCUGGGUUUAGAACGUCGUGAGACAGUUCGGUCCCUAUCUGCCGUGGGCGCUGGAGAACUGAGGGGGGCUGCUCCUAGUACGAGAGGACCGGAGUGGACGCAUCACUGGUGUUCGGGUUGUCAUGCCAAUGGCACUGCCCGGUAGCUAAAUGCGGAAGAGAUAAGUGCUGAAAGCAUCUAAGCACGAAACUUGCCCCGAGAUGAGUUCUCCCUGAGACUUAGAGUCUCCUGAAGGAACGUUGAAGACGACGACGUUGAUAGGCCGGGUGUGUAAGCGCAGCGAUGCGUUGAGCUAACCGGUACUAAUGAACCGUGAGGCUUAACCUUACAACGCCGAAG